rnacentral:rRNA from 1 species
CUAGGAUGAACGCUGGCGGCGUGCCUAAUACAUGCAAGUCGAACGAGAGUGCUUGCACUCGUAGUGGCGAACGGGUGAGUAACACGUAGGUAACCUGCCUUACAGUUGGGAUACCCUGGCGAAAGCUAGGCUAAUACCGAAUAAUUGGAUUGGAGGCAUCUCCGAUCUCUAAAAGGGGCCUUUAAAGCCUCGCUGAAUGAUGGACCUGCGGCGCAUUAGCUAGUUGGUGAGAUAACAGCCCACAAGGCGAGGAUGCGUAGCCGACCUGAGAGGGUGAACGGCCACACUGGAACUGAGACACGGUCCAGACUCCUACGGGAGGCAGCAGUAGGGAGUUUUCGGCAAUGGGGGCAACCCUGACCGAGCAACGCCGCGUGAAUGAUGAAGGGUUCCUUCGGAUUGUAAAGUUCUGUUAUAAGGGAAAAAUGAUAUGGUGAGGAAAUGCUCCAUAUUUGAUGGUACCUUAUUAGAAAGCCACGGCUAACUACGUGCCAGCAGCUGC